rnacentral:rRNA from 1 species
UACAGAGGUGGCAAGCGUUGUUCGGAAUUACUGGGCGUAAAGGGCGCGUAGGCGGCCAUCUAAGUCAGACGUGAAAUCCCCCGGCUUAACCUGGGAACUGCGUCUGAUACUGGACGGCUUGAGUAUGGGAGAGGGAUGUAGAAUUCCAGGUGUAGCGGUGAAAUGCGUAGAUAUCUGGAGGAAUACCGGUGGCGAAGGCGGCAUCCUGGACCAUUACUGACGCUGAUGCGCGAAAGCUAGGGGAGCAAACG